rnacentral:rRNA from 1 species
UACGGGGGGGGGCAAGCGUUGUUCGGAAUUACUGGGCGUAAAGGGCGCGUAGGCGGCCAUCUAAGUCAGACGUGAAAUCCCCCGGCUUAACCUGGGAACUGCGUCUGAUACUGGACGGCUGGAGUUUGGGAGAGGGAUGUAGAAUUCCAGGUGUAGCGGUGAAAUGCGUAGAUAUUCGGAGGAACACCAGUGGCGAAGGCGGCUCACUGGUCCAUUACUGACGCUGAGGUGCGAAAGCGUGGGGGAGCAAACAGGG